rnacentral:rRNA from 1 species
CCUACGGGAGGCAGCAGUGAGGAAUAUUGGUCAAUGGGAGAGAGCCUGAACCAGCCAAGCCGCGUGAGGGAAGACGGCCCUAUGGGUUGUAAACCUCUUUUGUCGGAGAAUAAAACCCGGGACGUGUCCCGGACUGCGUGUAUCCGAAGAAAAAGCAUCGGCUAACUCCGUGCCAGCAGCCGCGGUAAUACGGAGGAUGCGAGCGUUAUCCGGAUUUAUUGGGUUUAAAGGGUGCGUAGGCGGUCCGUUAAGUCAGCGGUAAAAUUGCGGGGCUCAACCGCGUCGGGCCGUUGAAACUGGCAGACUUGAGUUGGCGAGAGGUACGCGGAAUGCGCGGUGUAGCGGUGAAAUGCAUAGAUAUCGCGCAGAACUCCGAUUGCGAAGGCAGCGUACCGGAGCCAGACUGACGCUGAUGCACGAAAGCGUGGGGAUCGAACAGGAUUAGAUACCCUUGUAGUC